GGGUAUAGCUCAGUGGUAGAGCACAUGCUUGGCAUGCAUCCUGGGUUCAAUCCCCAGUACCUCCA
rnacentral:tRNA from 1 species